rnacentral:lncRNA from 1 species
UCGGAGCUGUGAAAUCACCAAUAAGCCAAAAACCAAUGGAUCUCCAGGUCAUCCAUCCUCAACUGGAUCCAUGUGCUUGUUGCCUUACUGUUCUGGAGGAUAACAUCGAAAAUAAGCCAGCUAUACAGAAACCCCAUAAAGAGAAUCAUGCAGAUUAUUAUCACCCACCAGCUUGUGGCCCCCAUGAGGGGCACACAUAUAUGGAGGAGGAUAUGUUGGUUAGCAAGAGCUUCUCUCUCAGGUUAUUGCCAAGAGCAAUGGUCAACUGCCUGAGUCCUCAGCUCUCCAUACAAGGUGGGAAUUCCAUCAUGGAAGACUUGAUGCUGUGCUGAAACUUAGUCAGACCACACCCCAAACUUCGGGGUCACACUCCAGUGCAGUGCCAAAGCAGAUUACACGUCACUCAAAAAUGUAGCCGCCUCAGAGACGUAGACAGUCCCUUGCUCUUCAAGAGAGCUACUUAUUCCUCCAUAACGAGAGAGACUGGCUGGAGAGUGUCCGAUUUCACAACAACUCCAUCUGCAGCAGGAGGAUACACAGUUUAGUAUAGUAUUAGUUUGGUUUCGGUUUGACUUUUGGGGGGGUUUGUUAGUAUGUUGCUAUUUUGAUUUUGUUACCGUUUUUAAUAUUUUGCUAAGGUUAUUGGCUGUGUGUCUGUGUAUACAGCCCCCUUCAAAGCCCCUUUUGAGAAAAAUGGAUUAUUUGUUAUGAAUAAAAAUAGUGAUUCCC